rnacentral:sRNA from 1 species
GCCAGGCAUGGUGGUGCAUGCCUGUAAUCCCAGCAACUUGGAGACUGAGGCAAGAGAAUCACAAAUUCAAAGCCAGCCUCAGCAGCUUAGUGAGACCCUAAGCAAUUUAGCAAGACCCUGUCUCAA